rnacentral:rRNA from 1 species
UACGUAGGUGACAAGCGUUGCCCGGAUUUACUGGGCGUAAAGAGCGCGCAGGCGGUCGAUCAAGUCGAGUGUGAAAGCCCCCGGCUCAACUGGGGAGGGUCAUUCGAUACUGAUCGACUCGAAGGCAGGAGAGGGUAGUGGAAUUCCCGGUGUAGUGGUGAAAUGCGUAGAUAUCAGGAGGAACACCGGUGGCGAAGGCGGCUAUCUGGACAGAAACUGACGCUGAGGCGCGAAAGCUAGGGGAGCAAACGGG